GUGCUUAACACAUGCAAGUCGAGUGCGCGGUUGUAGCAAUACAACUGGCGCACGGCGCACGGGUGCGUAACACGUGGGCAAUCUGCCCUCCGAUGGGGAAUAACUCCGGGAAACCGAAGCUAAUUCCGCAUAACAUUCCCUGGACUCCGGUUUGGGGAUUCAAAGCAGCAAUGCGUCGGAGGAGGAGCCCGCGCCCGAUUAGCUAGUUGGUGAGGUAACGGCUCACCAAGGCUAUGAUCGGUAGCUGGUCUGAGAGGAUGGCCAGCCACACUGGAACUGAGACACGGUCCAG
rnacentral:rRNA from 1 species